UACAGAGGUCUCAAGCGUUGUUCGGAUUCAUUGGGCGUAAAGGGUGUGUAGGUGGCGCGCUAAGUCGGGGGUGAAAUCCUGGAGCUCAACUCCAGAACUGCCUUCGAUACUGGCGAUCUAGAGUCCGGGAGAGGUGAGUGGAACUGCGAGUGUAGAGGUGAAAUUCGUAGAUAUUCGCAAGAACACCAGUGGCGAAGGCGGCUCACUGGCCCGGUACUGACGCUGAGGUGCGAAAGCGUGGGGAGCAAACAGG
rnacentral:rRNA from 1 species